rnacentral:tRNA from 1 species
UCCCUGGUGGUUCAGUGGUUCAGACUCCGUGCUCCCACUGCGGAUGGCUCGGGUUCGAUCCCUGAUCAGGGAA